CCAUGCAUGUCUAAGUAUAAGCAAUUUAUACAGUGAAACUGCGAAUGGCUCAUUAAAUCAGUUAUCGUUUAUUUGAUAGUACCUUUACUACUUGGAUAACCGUGGUAAUUCUAGAGCUAAUACAUGCUAAAAAUCCCGACUGUUUGGAAGGGAUGUAUUUAUUAGAUAAAAAAUCAAUGCUUUUCGGAGCUCUUUGAUGAUUCAUAAUAACUUUUCGAAUCGCAUGGCCUUGUGCUGGCGAUGGUUCAUUCAAAUUUCUGCCCUAUCAACUUUCGAUGGUAGGAUAGUGGCCUACCAUGGUUUCAACGGGUAACGGGGAAUAAGGGUUCGAUUCCGGAGAGGGAGCCUGAGAAACGGCUACCACAUCCAAGGAAGGCAGCAGGCGCGCAAAUUACCCAAUCCCAAUACGGGGAGGUAGUGACAAUAAAUAACGAUACAGGGCCCUUUCGGGUCUUGUAAUUGGAAUGAGUACAAUGUAAAUACCUUAACGAGGAACAAUUGGAGGGCAAGUCUGGUGCC
rnacentral:rRNA from 1 species